rnacentral:rRNA from 1 species
UUUAAACUAGGGAUUAGAUACCCUAUUAUUUUUAUUAAAUUUAAAUUUAAUUAAAAUAUUAAAUGUUAAGCAUUAAAAAUAAAAAAUUUGGCGGUAUUUAAUAUUUAGAGGAACUUGUUUAUUAAAUUGAUAAUCCACGAAUAGAAAAACUUAACUUAAUGAAUAAUUUUAUGUAUUGUUGUUGAAAAAUUAUAUUAAUAGAUAAUUAUUGAUAAAUUUAAUAAAAUUAUAAUUCAAAUCAAAAUGUAGAAUAGUUAAGAGUUUAAUGAGUUACAAUUAAUUAAAUAUUUGAAUUUUAAAGUAAUUUAAUUUAUAAAUGAAAAUGGAUUUAAAAGUAAAUUUAUAAAAAUUUAUAAAUGAUAAAAAAUUAU